CAGUGGCCAAGCUGCUACCCAAGGAAGGGCCGUCCCCAUCAUUAACUGGAUUGUCCCCCGAGGGGCUCUCAGGCCAGGCCGUCAGUGUGCGUGUGCUGAUCAGCUCUGCCACUUGUGAGAAGAAAAUGACCAACACCACACGAGCCGCUGGGAGCAUCAGGAGGUCAGCACUGGAUACACAGUCAAGGGGGCCGUUCUUAAGGCCGAAGCUGCCAAUAGCUCAUGCAGAUGGCUCACCUGGCGGGGUCUGCACCAGCCUGUCAACCCUGCUACACGUCGCCAAGUACUCUUUGCAGCAUCUGCUGAAAGGACAAAGUCUGGUCCCAGAAGCUGAGGGGACAGAGGAAUGCUUAGUGAUGGAGCCCACUCUAUGGAUCGGCGUCAGCCUCACAGUAUAGUCACGCCUCUCAGAGGGUGAGAGUCCGCUUCACCCCUCCCUGGCAGCUCUCCCUGCUUCAUUCUCCACAUUGGAGCUCUUCCCCCUGAAGACUCUCACUCCAUUCUGAGUAGUGGCAGAGUCCAACCUUGGCCACAAGGCUCCGUGUGACCUGGCUGUCCUCUCAAGCAGGCUGAGCACUCUUGGUUUCCUCUGCCUGGCUCAUCCCUCAGGUCUCCAUGCUGUGUUCAAUUAUCUUUGUGGCCUUCCCCAAUCACCCUCUGACGUAUAUGCCCACUUGGUUAAUCAAUGUCUGUCUACCCCAGUAAAUGUGCAUGAGGGCAGGACUUUCUUUGCUGUUGAACUAUCCAUUUCUAAAAUGGUGCCCGGCACACAGUAGGUACACAAUGAGCAUGUGGGUGGAUAGAAGGGAUGAAAUGAGGACUCUCCCUCCACAUCACUCUGCUUGACCUCGGUGACUCUGGGCUGUGCUCCCGGCCUGAUGCAGAUGAGGCAGCUACACUUGUCUCUGUACCAUGGAGACAUUUUUAAUCCUUUUUAUUUUCAUGUAUUUUGAAAGCA
rnacentral:lncRNA from 1 species